rnacentral:rRNA from 1 species
AUGAAGAGCGCUGGAAAUCCGACCCUUUGUCGAACAAAGUGGAGAAAAGUAGCCUAUGGGGGCAUGCAGCCAGGCUACGAUGAUAACUACACCGACGACUCCUUCCUGGAGGAGAUGGUCAUGAACGCCAAUGUCGUCAAGAGGGACUUCCUGAGGGUGAUGGUCGACUCUGUCUCCAUCUCCCAGUAUCUCUGCAUCGUCGCCCUUGUAGUUUCGACAUGGACACAUACGCUGAAUUUGGCCAUCGACGAAAUCACUCUCCUGAAAUUCGACAUUGGUCUGCUGCUUGUUGGGUUCUUGGUCCUCCUGCUCACCACCAGCCCAUUCUCGCUGAAUCUACUCUUGAAGUAUGUCCUCAACAUAUCAUUCUUCACCAGUGGCCUUUAUGUUCUGGCGCCAAUUUGCCAUACCCUUACCAGGUCCAUCAGUUCAGAUUCGAUCUGGGCACUUGCUGUGUUCCUUCUGCUGGUUCAUCUCUUCUUGCAUGACUACUCUGGCUCCACUAUAAGGCCUCCAGGUGCACUCAACAACCCAAAGCUGACCAGCAACAUCUCCUUGAACGCGUCGAUAGUGGCGUCUGUUCUUGUGGCGUCGCGUCUGCCAUCUUGGCUGCACGUCUUUGCAAUCAUGCUCUUCUCAUUGCAGGUCUUCCUGUUUGCGCCGCUGGUCACAUUUUGUAUCAAGAAGUACUCCUGUAGACUCCAUUUGAUGUUCUCCUUUGCUCUCAUGGUCAUGACCCUGGGCGUCACGUACCAGCUGCAUCGAAUGCUCUUCAUUUUGCUGCUGGCUCUCGUCGUUUUCAUCUCGCUUGUCUGCCCCUACUGGCUUAUCAGGAUUCAGGAGUACAAGUUUGAGAUCAAUGGCCCCUGGGAUGAAGCUAAACUCUGCUUUGAUAUAACUGAAUGA